rnacentral:rRNA from 1 species
GUGAAAUUGUUGAAAGGGAAACGAUUGAAGUCAGUCAUGCCGGCGAGAAAUCAGCUUACAGGCUACUGUGGGUGCACUUUUUCGCAAGGCAGGUUAACAUCGAUUUUUUGUUACGUUAUAAUGAUUGUAGGAAGGUGGCUCCUUCGGGAGUGUUAUAGCCUACUUUAGAUGGCGUGAUAGAGAUCAAGGAUUGCAGCGAAUGCCUUUAGGCUACGGGACUGUUCUUUGUUGAUUGUCAAUUGGCCUUCAGCUUGCUGAGGCCCGAUUGAACGAUUUACAAUAGGAUGGAAUCUGAUAAAUUCGCUAAGGAUAUUGACGUAAUGGCUUUAAACGAC